rnacentral:rRNA from 1 species
CCUACGGGAGGCAGCAGUGGGGAAUCUUGCGCAAUGGGGGCAACCCUGACGCAGCCAUGCCGCGUGAAUGAUGAAGGCCUUAGGGUUGUAAAGUUCUUUUGCCCGUGACGAUGAUGACGGUAACGGGAGAAUAAGCUCCGGCUAACUUCGUGCCAGCAGCCGCGGUAAUACGAAGGGGGCUAGCGUUGUUCGGAAUUACUGGGCGUAAAGCGCGCGCAGGCGGUUCGAUAAGUUAGGGGUGAAAUCCCUGGGCUCAACCCAGGAACGGCCUUUAAGACUGUCGAGCUAGAGGACGAGAGAGGUGAGUGGAAUUCCCAGUGUAGAGGUGAAAUUCGUAGAUAUUGGGAAGAACACCGGUGGCGAAGGCGGCUCACUGGCUCGUUUCUGACGCUGAGGCGCGAAAGCGUGGGGAGCAAACAGGAUUAGAUACCCUGGUAGUCCACGCCCUAAACGAUGAGUGCCAGGUGUCGGGAAGCUUAGCUUCUCGGCGCCGCAGCUAACGCCUUAAGCACUCCGCCUGGGAGUCGGCCGCAGGUUAAAACUCAAAUGAAUUGACGGCUGGAGAGUUGCGAGACGACGACGAGGGAGAGG